CAAUGAAAUAGAUAUACUCGUAUAAUUUUGGAGAUAUGGUCCAAAAGUUUCUACAAACUACCAAUGCAAUAGUUCGGCUACGAGAAUAGUA
rnacentral:ncRNA from 1 species